GACGAACGCUGGCGGCGUGCUUAACACAUGCAAGUCGAACGGUGAAAGCGGAGCUUGCUCCGCUGGAUCAGUGGCGAACGGGUGAGUAACACGUGGGCAACCUGCCCCUCACUUCGGGAUAACUCCGGGAAACCGGGGCUAAUACCGGAUAUGACCUCCUUGGGCAUCCUUGGAGGUGGAAAGUUUUUCGGUGAGGGAUGGGCCCGCGGCCUAUCAGCUUGUUGGUGAGGUAGUGGCUACCCAAGCCGACGACGGGUAGCCGGCCUGAGAGGGCGACCGGCCACACUGGGACUGAGACACGGCACAGACUCCUACGGGAGGCAGCAGUGGGGAAUAUUGCGCAAUGGGCGAAAGCCUGACGCAGCAACGCCGCGUGCGGGAUGACGGCCUUCGGGUUGUAAACCGCUUUCAGCAGGGAAGAAGCCGCAAGGUGACGGUACCUGCAGAAGAAGCACCGGCUAACUACGUGCCAGCCGCCGCCGUAA
rnacentral:rRNA from 1 species